rnacentral:rRNA from 1 species
GGGACGAACGCUGGCGGCGUGCUUAACACAUGCAAGUCGAGCGGAAAGGCUCCUUUCGGGGGGUACUCGAGCGGCGAACGGGUGAGUAACACGUGAGUAACCUGCCCUGGACUUUGGGAUAACCCUCGGAAACGGGGGCUAAUACCGGAUAUGACACGCGGAUGCAUGUUUGUGUGUGGAAAGAUUUUUUGGUCUGGGAUGGGCUCGCGGCCUAUCAGCUUGUUGGUGGGGUGAUGGCCUACCAAGGCGACGACGGGUA